rnacentral:rRNA from 1 species
GACGAACGCUGGCGGCGUGCCUAAUACAUGCAAGUUGAGCGAUGAAGAUUGGUGCUUGCACCAAUUUGAAGAGCAGCGAACGGGUGAGUAACGCGUGGGGCAUCUGCCUUUGAGCGGGGGACAACAUUUGGAAACGAAUGCUAAUACCGCAUAACAACUUUAAACAUAAGUUUUAAGUUUGAAAGAUGCAAUUGCAUCACUCAAAGAUGAUCCCGCGUUGUAUUAGCUAGUUGGUGAGGUAAAGGCUCACCAAGGCGAUGAUACAUAGCCGACCUGAGAGGGUGAUCGGCCGCAUUGGGACUGAGACACGCCCCAAACUGCUACGGGAGGCAGCAGUAGGGAAUCGUCGGCAAUGGACGAAAGUCUGACCGAGCAACGCGGCGUGAGUGAAGAAGGUUUUCGGAUCGUAGAACUCUGUUGGUAGGGAAGAACGUUGGUGAGAGUGGAAAGCUCAUCAAGUGACGGUAACUACCCAGAAAGGGACGGCUAACUACGUG